CUAGGUUGUGGCCUAACACGAAGUAUGUGGAUGUGAUUGUGACAGGGACGAUGUCUCAGUACAUUCCAACUUUGGAUUACUACAGCAAUGGCUUGCCUCUUGUCUGCACAAUGUAUGCUUCUUCCGAAUGUUACUUUGGUGUGAACCUAAGGCCACUAUGCAAACCUAGCGAGGUCUCUUACACGCUCAUACCAACCAUGGCUUAUUUCGAGUUCUUGCCUGUUCAUAGAAACACAGGUGUUACUAACUCCAUCAAUCUACCUAAAGCACUCACGGAGAAAGAGCAACAAGAGCUUGUUGAUCUUGUUGAUGUUAAACUUGGUCAGGAGUACGAGCUUGUUGUCACCACUUAUGCCGGUAAGAAAAUAAAACAUAUUCUAUAAUAGCACAUAAUUAUUUUCAAAAAUAGUAUAAAAAUUAUAUUUAGAUUUUUGGGUUUAGUGAUUAUGGUUUACUAGUAUCGACUAGGUGGAGGUUAGGGUAAAAUUUAGAAUUCAGAGUAAUUUAGCUUUUCUUUUUUUGGCUAUUUUAGUGAUUUUUCUAUUGUAUGCUAUUUUUGACAUGGUAUAAAUUAUGAUAAGAGAUUUGCCCUAAGAAAAUAGAGAAUUUCUAUUAAUUUAUAACAAAAAAAAAAUACACUUUAAGGGUUUAGUCUUAUGUUUGUGUGCUUUGUGAUUUUGAUGCAGGGCUUUGUAGAUACAGAGUUGGUGAUUUGUUGAGAGUGACUGGAUUCAAGAACAAGGCACCUCAAUUUAGUUUCAUAUGCCGCAAGAAUGUGGUCUUAAGCAUAGAUUCCGACAAGACCGAUGAAGUUGAGCUUCAGAACGCGGUAAAGAACGCAAUGACACAUCUUGUCCCAUUUGAUGCCUCACUCUCUGAGUAUACUAGCUAUGCGGAUACAAGUUCUAUCCCUGGCCAUUACGUCCUGUUCUGGGAGCUAUGUUUGGAUGGAAACACACCGAUCCCUCCUUCUGUCUUUGAGGAUUGCUGCCUAGCCGUGGAAGAGUCGUUCAACUCUGUUUAUAGACAAGGAAGGGUUAGUGACAAGUCCAUAGGCCCACUCGAGAUCAAGAUUGUUGAGCCGGGGUUGCCUAGUUUCACCUUCCUUUCAUUCUCCUCCUCUAUAUAUAUCAACACUUCUCUUUCCUUCUUCCUCACACACUAAAAGCUCCUAACAAACAUAAGCUUAUCUCCUUCUCACCCAUCUCAAAAUUGUGCCAGCUUCUCUCUGAAACCAAACCAUGCCUGAGGCACCAAAGUAUGAAUCUUUAGAUGCUUUCGAUCUGACCCUCGACGAGAAGAACAAGAGGAAACUUCAGUUAAUCGAGGAACUGACCUCAAACGCCGACCAAGUCCAGAAACGUGUCUUGGAGGAGAUCUUGACCCGUAAUGCUGACGUGGAGUAUCUCAGGCGUCAUGACCUCAACGGUCGCACAGACCGAGAGACGUUCAAGAACGUGAUGCCUGUUAUAACCUAUGAGGAUAUCCAGCCUGAGAUCAACAGGAUUGCUAACGGUGAUAAAUCUCCUAUCCUCUCUUCAAAGCCUAUCUCCGAGUUCCUCACCAGGUUCGUUAUUAACAUCCUCUCUUCUUCUUCUUCUUCUUCUUCUUCUUCUUCUUCAAAAUGCUCUGUUUUGCUCUGUUUUUGCUCUGUUUUGCUCUGUUUUACUCUGUUUUUCAAGAACCUAACGAAGCUUUCUAUAUGUUCUUUGACAGCUCUGGGACAUCUGGUGGGCAGAGGAAGCUAAUGCCGACAAUCGAAGAAGAACUAGACCGGAGAUCACUUCUCUACAGUUUCUUGAUGCCUGUGAUGAGCCAGUUCGUUCCUGGUCUCGACAAAGGCAAAGGAAUGUAUUUCUUGUUCAUCAAGUCUGAAUCCAAGACGCCAGGAGGCCUCCCUGCUCGUCCCGUCUUAACCAGUUACUACAAAUCUUCCCAUUUCAAAGAAAGACCCUUUGACCCUUACACCGACUACACAAGCCCCAACGAGACCAUCCUUUGCCCUGACUCUUACCAGAGCAUGUACUCUCAGAUGCUUUGUGGCUUAUGCCAACACCAGGAGGUUCUUCGAGUCGGUGCCGUUUUCGCCUCUGGUUUCAUCAGAGCUAUCAAGUUUCUUGAGAAGCACUGGAUCGAGCUGGUCCGUGACAUCAGAACCGGUACCUUAAGCUCCCUGAUCACUGAUCCUUCAGUGCGUGAGGCGGUCGCCAAGAUCCUUAAACCUAGUCCAAAACUCGCGGAUUUCGUGGAGUUCGAGUGUAAGAAGAAGUCUUGGCAAGGGAUCAUCACUAGGUUGUGGCCUAACACGAAGUAUGUGGAUGUGAUUGUGACAGGGACGAUGUCUCAGUACAUUCCAACUUUGGAUUACUACAGCAAUGGCUUGCCUCUUGUCUGCACAAUGUAUGCUUCUUCCGAAUGUUACUUUGGUGUGAACCUAAGGCCACUAUGCAAACCUAGCGAGGUCUCUUACACGCUCAUACCAACCAUGGCUUAUUUCGAGUUCUUGCCUGUUCAUAGAAACACAGGUGUUACUAACUCCAUCAAUCUACCUAAAGCACUCACGGAGAAAGAGCAACAAGAGCUUGUUGAUCUUGUUGAUGUUAAACUUGGUCAGGAGUACGAGCUUGUUGUCACCACUUAUGCCGG
rnacentral:lncRNA from 1 species